rnacentral:rRNA from 1 species
AUGUAAUGCCUAAAAUGUUAAUGCAUCAGAUCCCAUUAGAAAUCAACAAUUAAGCAUGCUUGGGAUAUAGUAGUACUAGGAUGGGUGACCUCCUGAGAAGUCCUAGUGUUUUACAUG